UUAAAAUGUAACUUAUAAGACUGAAUUAUUAAUAGCUAUGUUCUUUAAAAUUAAAUAAUUUGGCGGUAUUUUAGUCUUUUCAGAGGAACCUGUUCUUUAAUUGAUAACCCACAAUUUUAUAAACUUAAAUUAGUAAUUUACAUAUCGUCGUUAUUAAGUAUUUUUAUAGGAUAUAAUACUUAGGUUAUUUAAUUAAAUUUUAAUUCAGAUCAUGGUGUAGUUUAUAUUUAAGUAGUAAUGGGUUACUAUAUAUUAAUAUUAGAUUAUUAAAUUAAAAUUUGUAUGAAAAUGGAUUUGAAAGUAAUUAAUUUUAUUUUUUAUUAAUGAUUAAGCUCUAAAAUAUGC
rnacentral:rRNA from 1 species